AUGGACAUGAGUGCGCUUGCUCAGCUUCUAGGGCUCCUGCUUCUCUGCCUCCAAGGAGCCAGAUGUGAUAUCCAGAUGACCCAGUCUCCAUCUUCACUGUCUGCACCUUCAGGAGACACAGUCUCUAUCACUUGCCAGGCCAGUGAGCACAAUUAUAACAAAUUACACUGGUACCAGCAGAAACCAGGGAAAACUCCUAAGCUCCUGAUCAGUUAUGCAUCUGAUUUGAAACCUGGGGUUCCAUCGAGAUUCAGUGGCAGUGGAUAUGGGAGAGAGUUCACUCUCACCAUCAGCAGCCUGCAGCCUGAAGAUGCUGCCACUUAUUACUGUCAACAGAGUACUAGUUUACCUCCCACAGUGAUACAAGUCAUAACAUAA